CGGAACCGCAGGACUGUGAGGCGUCAGAACGAGAGCCAGCGGGCCGGGCAGAGCAGCAGAACCGGGUCGCGGACGAGCCGAGCUGUCGCCAUGGAGCUGAGGGUUGGGAACCGGUACCGGCUCGGCCGGAAGAUCGGGAGCGGCUCCUUCGGGGAUAUCUACCUGGGAACUGAUAUUGCUGCCGGAGAGGAGGUUGCAAUUAAGUUGGAAUGUGUGAAAACCAAACAUCCUCAGCUCCACAUUGAGAGUAAAAUCUACAAAAUGAUGCAGGGUGGAGUGGGUAUUCCCACAAUUAAGUGGUGCGGAGCUGAAGGGGACUACAACGUUAUGGUGAUGGAGUUGUUGGGACCGAGUCUUGAAGAUCUCUUCAAUUUUUGUUCAAGGAAAUUUAGUCUCAAGACAGUCCUAUUACUUGCUGACCAAAUGAUUAGUCGAAUUGAAUAUAUUCACUCUAAGAACUUCAUCCACCGAGAUGUGAAGCCAGAUAACUUCUUAAUGGGCCUGGGGAAGAAAGGCAAUCUUGUCUACAUAAUAGACUUUGGACUAGCAAAGAAGUAUCGAGAUGCUCGAACUCACCAACAUAUUCCAUAUCGUGAAAAUAAAAACUUGACAGGAACUGCCCGUUAUGCAUCCAUCAACACUCAUCUUGGAAUCGAGCAAUCUCGCAGAGAUGACUUGGAGUCCUUGGGCUAUGUACUGAUGUAUUUUAACCUGGGCUCCCUCCCCUGGCAGGGACUGAAAGCAGCAACAAAGAGGCAGAAAUACGAACGUAUCAGUGAAAAGAAAAUGUCUACACCCAUUGAGGUUUUGUGUAAAGGAUAUCCUUCUGAAUUUGCCACGUACUUGAAUUUCUGCCGUUCUUUGCGUUUUGAUGACAAGCCGGACUACUCCUAUCUGAGGCAAUUAUUCAGAAACCUCUUUCAUCGGCAGGGGUUCUCCUAUGACUAUGUCUUUGACUGGAACAUGCUGAAAUUUGGUGCAAGCAGAGCAGCUGAAGAUGCUGAACAUGAAAGGCGAGAACGAGAGGAAAGAUUAAGACAUACACGAAAUCCAGCUGUACGUGGAUUACCCUCCACUGCUUCUGGCAGGCUAAGAGGAACGCAAGACGUAGCUCCUCCUACUCCCCUUACCCCAACUUCACAUGCUGCCAACACCUCUCCUCGGCCAGUAUCUGGCAUGGAACGAGAAAGGAAAGUGAGUAUGAGAUUGCAUCGUGGUGCCCCAGUCAAUAUCUCCUCGUCUGAUUUAACAGGCCGACAAGAUACCUCUCGCAUGUCGACUUCGCAGUGAAGAAGCAGAGUAAGAGGCAGUAGUGAAUCCUGUUUCCAAAUCAACAGAGCAGAGAAUAUUGGUGCAGAAAAGGCAAGAUCCAUUUGGUGAAGAACAGAAGGUGCAGUAGUGAAGAAAUGUUGUAGUGCAGUGCUCUUAAUUCAGAGCUGAUAAGAGGCUGCAUACAUGGAUGAUGGAUACGUUGCAGAAGGCUCAUUUGAAGAGAAUGGCAGGAGGAUAAAUGAUAAUGAUUCGUAGUCAGCGCUGAAAUCAUCCUUACUGGUCACAGUGACUUAACAAAGACAUUUUAGGAAUCUUUCUUUUUAGGACUGACGAUGUUAGAUGUGUUUCUAACUCUGUACUAUAGCUGAAACAUUCCUUCCUCAGCAUAUUCACGGUCUUGUCCCAAACAGCGUGUGGCCUGGCUUUGUACAAUUUGCUUUCAGUCUUACUUACAGAAUGGAAAUCAGCCAAAUUAUAGACAUUCUGCAACAUUUCUGGGAAAGCAGUGUGUUACGGGGACUGGUGCAAUGACCUAGGGGUUUUUCCAUUGUGCCUCACUACUGUGCAGGAGUUCUAACUGCAUAAUUUUUGCCAGGGACUCGUUCCUCAUUGACAGAGCACAUUGACAAAAAUUAACUCGGUUACUUUUGGCGUCAUCAUUUAAUUGGCAGAGUUUAUUGGUUUUGGAUAAUACAUGGUCUUACGUACGAAAUCUGACUGCCAGAAAGAACAGUUUUUUAGAUGAGGGCCAAGUCGGUAUCUCUAACGAAGACUGAGAGUGAACUGGGUGGAAGAAACAAUUCCGUUGUGAUAAAAGCAAAGUGGCAUUUUGUGGGCUUUCAAGCUGAAUGAGUUGUUUCACCAUGGAGCUGCGCAGGUACUUGUGCUUGCAUGAGGGAUGAACGGUUCAGGAGCAGAAAUGGCUGGACAAGAAUAGGGAGUAGGUGAGGUUUUCUGUAUUGGGUUGGUGACAAAUUUCACCAUCUUAAAUUGCUCACUGAACUGCUAUUCUUGCCACCAGAAAUUCUCAUGUUGAAGUAUUUUUAAAUAGUAUGAGAACAAAGAGGGUAGAGUUGUGCAUAGUUAUGGAUCUUGUAAAUUUGCCUAAAUACCUGUUAGAAGAAUGUAAAGAAGGUGCAACUGGACUGUUCGCAGCAAUAUCCAGUGAAUGGGCAAUGGACAGUGGGCACAAAUUGAAAUAUAGGAAAUUCCAUUUAGACGGAUGAAGAAACUUUUUUACUAUGAAGGUGGGCAUGGACUGUAACAGGUUGCCCAAAACGAUUGUGGAGUCUCCCUUUUCCAAAGUACUUGGAGCCCAAUUGGACAUUGUCCUGAGUAGCCUGGUCUAGUUGACUGUGCUGUGGGUAGUGAGAUUGGGCUACAUGAUUUCCAGGGCUCCUUUUUGACCUUGGGUAUUCUGUGAGGCUGUGAUGCAGAGUUCUCCCUGAACAUUUGCUUGAAUGUAAAUAUGGUUUUCUGGAAAAGGUCUGUGGCAUUCUGAGAAAAUUUCAGAUACUUUCUCUGUUACCAGUCAGAUAUACAAGUAAUAGCAGUAACAGACAGAAAUGCAGUGAUGCUGCUUAAUUGUGUUACAUGAAAGUGUAUCUUUAAUUUUUUUGUUAUGUUCGUGACACGUCGCUCAGUGCGCAGGUGACACUUUUCUAAGCAUUUCAAGAUACGAGUAGUACAAGUGGGCUUGUAGAUACAUUUUGGUUCUGCCUAGCCUGUAAAGUGUGAAUACUGUGAGGGCAGUUGCCAGUUCUCUGUGUAGUCUUUAAACAUCCAGAUACCUAAUUUGUGAUGAGGGCCAACGGUACGGUCUGGCUUAAUGACGCAUUCCAUACCUGCCUUUUUUAACACUCUGCUUCAAGUAUAGGAUCGCUUGGUUGACUUCUUUACAAUCCCAACAGCGGCCUAGUUGGGAUCUUCUCUUGAGUUUGUCAGAACUAAUCAUUUGUUGCCUGCUGUAUUCAUUUAGUUCUUAAGACAGUGAAGCAGUGCUGGUAUCUAUUUGUGGUGACCAAAUAACUGUGUGUGACUCUAGUAUAAUUUGAACAGAUUCCCGUAGGCCUGUUGGAAUUGGAAGGCAAGAGAGAUUUGCAGUGGGAAAUGGGUUAGAUUGGAAGGGAGCUUAAAGAUUGCCUCGUUCCAACUCCCCUGCCAUGGGCAGAGAACCUUCCAGUAGGCCAGGUUACUCAGAACCCCAUUCAGCCUGGCCUUGAACAUCUCCAGGGGUGGGGAGUCCACGACCUCUCUGGGCAACCUGUUCCAAUGCCUCACUGCCCUUUAUAGUAAAGAAUGUCUUCCUAAAAUAUAAUUUUUCCCUCCUUCAGGUUAAGGCCACUCACCCUUGUCCUAUCACUACAUGCGCUUUUUACGUGCUAUGUGAACAGCCCCUCUGCAGCCUUCUUGUAAGCCCCCUUUAGGUACUGCAAGGCUACUCUCAGUUCUCCCCAAAGUCUUUUCUUCUCCAGACUGAACAGCCCCAACUCUCUCAGCCUGUUUGCGUAGGAGAGAUGCUGCAGCCCCAUCAUCAACUUAGUGGCUCUCCUCUGGACUCAUUCUAACAUUGUCAGUGCUGUUCUUGCAUCAGGGGCCCCAGACCUAGGCACAGUACUUCAGGUGGGGUCUCACAAGAGCAGAAUAGAGGGCAAGAAUCCCCUCUCUUGAGUUGCUGGUCACUUUUCUUUUGAUGCAGCCCAGGACACGGUUGGCUUUCUGGGCUGCAGGCGCAUGUUGCUGGCUCACGUUGAGCUUCUAAUCCGUGAAGACCCCCUAGUCUUUCUCCCCAGAGCUAGUCUUGAUCCAUUCUCCAGCCAGCCUGUACUUAUGCUUGACAUUGACCUGAUGUGUAUGCCGGACCUUGCACCUGACCUUGUUGAACUGCGUGAGGCUCCCAUGGACCCACUUCUCAAGCCUGUUGAGGUCUCUCUGGAUGGCAUCCCUUCCCUCCGGCAUGUCAACUGCACCACACAGCUUGUUGUCAGCAAAUUUGCUGAGGGUACACUUGAUCCCACUGUCCAUUUUGCUGACAAAGAUGUUGAACAGCGCUGGUCCCAAUACUGACCCCUGAGGAACAAACACCGCUCGUCACUGCUUUCCGCUUGGACAUCGACUCAUUAACCACAAUUCUUUGAGUGCAACCAUCCAUCCAGUUCCUUAUCCUCUGAGUGGUCCAUGUGUCAAAUCUGUGUCUCUGAAGUUUAGAGAUAAGGAUAUCAUGUGAGACAGUGUUCAGUGCUUUGCACAAGUCCAGGUGGGUGAUGUCUGUUGCUUUUCCCUCAUCCACCACUGCUUAACUCCACUGUAGGAGGUUGCCGAAUUUGUCAGGUGCGAUUUAACUUUAGUGAAGCCGUGUCAUCUGACACCAGUCACCUGCUUAUUCUCCAUGUGCCUUAACAUAGUUUCCAAGAGGAUCUGUUACAUGAUUUUGCUAGGCGCUGAGGUGAGACUGGCCUGUAGUUCCCUGUGUCAUCUUUCCUUUAUAAAACUGGGGGUUGUGUUUCCCCUUUUCCAGUCAGAAGGAACUACGCUGGACUGCUGUGACAUCUCAAAUAUGAUGGAUAGUGGUGUAGUCCCUUACUCAGCUGGUUGCCAUAGGACCCAUGGAUGUAUGUCAUCAGGUCCCACGGACUUGUGCACUUUCAGGUUCCUUAAACAGUCUCAAACCCCCUCUUCUUCCACAGUGGAUGGUUCUUCAUUUUCCCAAUCCCUGCCUUCACCUUCUGCAACCUGGGUGGUGUAGCUGAAACACUUUACUCAGACUUCAGCUUGUAACACUUCCACUUGAGCUUGUUAGAGAAAAUUCACUUUUCGUUUUCUCAGUUCUCGCUCUCUAGAAGGCAAGAUGGUGCAAGUUGCAGGUGUCGAUAGCGUCUGCUGUUACAGUCUCCAUAAUAUUAGAGUAGCUCUUCUGUAAUCAAAAUUUAUCCUUAGAUCUUAGCCAAGUUACCAAUUAUAGCCAUGAGUUUCCAAUUAUCUUUAUACCUUGUUCUUAGGAAAACCUAAAGUAUUCAAGUUAUGUGGCAAAGUCAUUAAAGAGAAUUUUGAUUGGAUAGAUGUAAGAAUACAGAAAGUCAUCCGUAUCACUUCUUUUCAAGAGAACCAUAAAGAGUAGCAAUUGUUUGUUCAUGUCCAUUCCAAGUGUGCUAGUUUCCUUAGUAAGUCUUAAGGAAGUAUACUGCCACAGGUCCUUUUUUCAGGAAGUGCUUAAGCUAUACUCCUGGUAGAAAGCAACUUUUAGAGUUUGCCAUGCACAUCUACAGAUGUUUUCUGUUAAGAACUACGUUUGUUAGAGUUCUUAUUUAUAACUUGAUGAAUUAGUUUUGUUACUUUAUUUAUUUGUAUGCCUUGGUUUGGUAAUGCAACGGUGCAUCUGUAAUCUCCACCUCUAUUCAUCUAGAGGAAAGGCUGCUGCUUGUUAAACUCUGGACGGUGAAAUGUGCAGAGGUUACUCAAACAAGGAAAGCUACUUGCCUCUAAGUAGAGUUCUUCUUAAAGAUGACUACUCCACAUGUUUAUCUUUCUUUUUUUCCAAGUUGAAUUCUGAUCAGGUCAGACUGAAACUGAAAACCUAAGGCUGUGGAUGCAAAUAAUAGGAACCAAAAUUCUGUUACGAAAACCAGGCAUUCUCAGAGAAAUUUAACGCUUGUGGAAAAAUGGUAAUUUGUAAGCAUAGCAAAAUAGGUGUCAUUUAUUCCCCACAUCCAAGAUAGUGUCCACAUAGCACCUAAGUCAUUCUCCUUAAAAAGACAUGCUGUUUCUAACGCUAAGUAAUGAGUGUUUACUGGAGUAACAGCUACCAUGUCUAUGAAAUGGUUCAUGAAACUUAAGUGUUUCUAAUGCAGUUACGUAAAUUCUGUGGCACAUGUUGUUCUUUUCUGGAUUAUAUGAAGUGAACGCAACAGUGAAAAACCUGCAAGUUGUGAGUUCACAGCGAUGAACAUUAGUGGGAGCUGAGCGGUCAAGCAUAGUCUAUUCAAAUGUGUAUUCCUGCAGUACUCCAAAUUCUGGUUAGGAUGAAGGAGUGGAGGCCAUUUUCCUAUAUGGGGGAACUAUAUCUGUGGUAAGUAAUGACUGAGGGGGCAGGUGUAAUGUUGGAGAGGUUAGUGUGGUUUCAUAAUGAAAGGGCACAAUUUCCUCCUUGAAUCCAUGUAUGAUACAGGAACGAACAGAAGCGGAGAUGUUUCUCUGUGUCAUUAGCGAGGUGGAUUGGGAAAACAGAUUGUCCAAUGCAAGAGGUUCAAAUCUACUACUUUCAGUUUGUCUGAAAGCUAAGAAAAUGUCUUGAGUGAGUUGGUGUCAUGUUUGAGAUACAAUGACUUUAACAGGAAUUAAAGGAGAAAACAUGUGAAGAAGCUAUUGCUUAAAAUUAAAACCGCUAACAUGUAAGGAAAGGCAAAACAGAGGUUUAAGUGAAGGUAGUUACCUACUGAAACAACUUCUAAAAUAAGUAGAUCAUCUCUCCUCUCUGCCUCUGCAUCAACACUGGAUUCAUUUCUAAGUGGUGUAUUCCAGUCUAAAGCAAGUCUAAAUUACAUGUGUGUGUAAUGAAGGGCGGUGAUCUGUGUUGGACAGAAAAUCAUACCAGCUGUUAAAAGAUCCUUCUGCUCUUAAGCUCUCUUAAGAGAAUUGUUCCCUAAGUCUCCUUUACAGACUUUUUAAACAUUAAAGAGACAUAGUAAAGGAGGUAGUAAAUGAGGUAAUGAGUAUUCUAGUAAAAACUACUGUGAAUCAGCUCUGUCGGUCCACAUGCACAGACUGCAUCCUGAAAGCAGUGAUCAUCUCAAGAGUCUAGUUACAGGUGAGUAGUCUUCAUUUCCUUCUACAAAAGGUUCAGUCUGACUGCUCAUGGCUACGCAGUAAGUUCUUUAAUUUUUUUUUCUUGAAUGUAGCAUGUUCAGCACCCAACAGUCAGAGCUGUUGCAAAUUCCUAUUGGUAAUAGAGGUAUUCUCUCUGUAGUUGGAAGAAAAGAUUGAAAUGCUGCACAAAGAAAUGUUUUACUAAAUCUCUUUGAUGGGAGACGUUUUUAGAAGACUACAGCCAACACUGGCAUUGAAUAACUUAAAUGUUGUGCCAUACUUCAGUGCUUCUGCAUUCUCCAUUUCCUCAUCCGCAAAUCUUUCUCCACGUGUACAUCUUAAUAGGCAUCAUACUCUGCGUUGUUCUUCUGACCCUGUCAUCUUCCUUUGAGGAUUAAUGAUUUGUUUCUUUUACGUGUCUCUUAACAUGAUGGAAAUGUCUUCUAGAAAUCUGAAAUCAGAGCUUCUCAAAAGAUAGAGUUGCUACUGCAAGCUCAGUUUGGAUGUUUGUUCGACAUCUUUAUAUAUUGGGGCAGUGGAACUGUUACAAAUUGCUGUCUUUUCCCCUACCUCAGAAUAGCAUUCCUUUCGAACACCAUGGCAAGUAGCUGCUCGUCUCCUUUCGUUGGAAGGCAGCACUGGAUUCCUGCUCGGGUAACUACCAGUGUUCUCCAG